rnacentral:rRNA from 1 species
UGAGGAAUAUUGGGCAAUGGACGCAAGUCUGACCCAGCCAUGCCGCGUGCAGGAAGACGGCCCUAUGGGUUGUAAACUGCUUUUUUAGAAGAAGAACCACGGGUACGUGUACCCGUCUGACGGUAUUUUAAGAAUAAGCAUCGGCUAACUCCGUGCCAGCAGCCGCGGUAAUACGGAGGAUGCAAGCGUUAUCCGGAAUCAUUGGGUUUAAAGGGUCCGCAGGCGGACCAGUAAGUCAGGGGUGAAAACCCGGAGCUCAACUCCGGACGUGCCCUCGAAACUGCUGAUCUAGAAAUAUGGGGGAGUUUGUGGAAUGUGACAAGUAGCGGUGAAAUGCAUAGAUAUGUCACAGAACACCGAUAGCGAAAGCAGCAAACUACCCAUUAUUUGACGCUCAGGGACGAAAGCGUGGGGAGCAAACA